AGCAGUGUCCAGUGACAAUGAUGCCUCCUACUUUGAAGGCGGGGCGUGAGGGGUGGCAGCGUGAGGUGGGGGCUGUGCGCGCAGGGAGGAGCGUAAAAGUUGACAGCCUUGAGCAUGUGACACCUUCUGCCAUGAGAUGAUGCCACAAUAAGAACCUCACCAACUGCUGGCACCUUGAUACUGGACUUCACAGCCUCCAGAAUAGUGAGCCAAUGUCUUUCAAGCAUUGAUAAUUACAGCUUUCAGACCAAAAGCCUACAAAUUCAUAAUCCACACAGAUGACAUACUAAAAUCUACUCAAACUUCUAAGUGUGAAGACAAUUUCAGGACUUACAUUAAGAGAAAACUGCUUAAAAAGAGGGAAAAAUGUAUGACUCUAAAUUUGGAAAACAAACAGGAUCUGCCAAUACAGGGCAGAAUGUUAAAAAGAGGAUGAAUUUUGAUUUCAGAAAAUUUAGAAGAGAAUGGCCGGGCACGGUGGCUCACGCUUGUAAUCCCAGCACUUUGGGAGGCCGAGGCGGGCGGAUCACGAGGUCAGGAGAUCGAGACCACGGUGAAACCCCGUCUCUACUAAAAAAUACAAAAAAUUAGCCGGGCGUGGUGGCGGGCGCCUGUCGUCCCAGCUACUCGGAGAGGCUGAGGCAGGAGAAUGGCGUGAACCCGGGAGGCGGAGGUUGCAGUGAGCCGAGAUUGCGCCACUGUACUCCAGCCUGGGCGACAGAGCGAGACUCCGUCUCAAAAAAAAAAAAAAAAAAAAAAAAAAAGAAAAUUUAGAAGAGAAUGGAUUUCUCAGGCAACUGAAAGAACAUAUUUGGAUCUGUUAAGACUAAAGGAGACUUCAAGAGAACUGGACUUUGUGUUGGACAGACUGUCUGUGACAGGGAAAAAACCCCUUCUGAAUGAUUAGGAACGAAUCAGUUAACUGGCUUGAGUUUCACAUUCUUCAUCUGUAAAAUCUGGUGAUUAGACUGGCCCAGCAAAAGAUACAAUACACAUAAAUUGGAAUGAAUCUGCAUUUUCCAAGCCUGAUGAAUUUAUUAAAACUGAAUUAAGUCACUAACUGGCAGCCUGAAGAUGAAAGGAAAGAACUCAGUCACGCUUCUUAAGGUAAAAGGGCAGUCUAACUGAGAAUUUUGUUAUCUCUGAGGACAAAUUACAACGAGAUAAAGACACUCAAGAUCACAUGGAAGGCUUCUGCUCCCACUGAGAGACUGCAAUGUAAGCAACGGAGACAAAGAUUUUCCUGAGCAGCGUCAGUAACAAAGAAAUGAGACAAAUUAUUAAGAAACUGAUGGGCAUUCAUUGAAGAGCAACAAAUAUGAUUUAUAAGUCUGAAGGGACUGCCUUCAGAGGGAAGAUGAAAGAGACAAGUCUCCCAGCAUGACCAUGUGGCUCUAACGGGACUGGCUCAUUGGCAACAAGUACUUGAAGGGUGUAAAUAGCGGGGACAGAGAGAAAUUAUUUAGUGUCCAAGGGGACAGCAGGAGGAGUGAUGGAAAUGAAAGUCAAAACAAAGAUGAUUUAGGCAGCUGAACGAGUCACAUGCCCUAAUGGAGAGAUCUAUUAUAGGCUGUAUGGCACCAUCCCUUGGGAAGGGUGGAAACCCCAUCACUUGUGCCAUUUACAAUUGGAAAAGGCAUUAAAAAGUAGAUCAGUCUGUUGGAGAGGGAAAAAACACCGCAGGUCCUCAGAGAAUCAGUGGGAUUACUUAAUAAGUCUUUUCCAUCUGAAAUUACUGUGAUGUAGUUCGUAUGCUUGGGGACCUGAGGUGCUAGAAUAAUUUUUCCAUUAUUUGGGCUUCUUUACUAUUACUACAAGGCCUCAGUGAAGAAAUGAUAAAAGGUCUUUCCGCAUUGUAAGUGGAAGCCCACAGUGUACUGAUGCUUUAGUAUGAAGGCAGAACUGACUAUGAUAAGUUUCACAUUGUGAUGUCGGUGUAAAUAAAUACAAACGUAAUACCAA